AGAGCGAACGCUGGCGGCAGGCCUAAUACAUGCAAGUCGAACGCACCUUCGGGUGAGUGGCGGACGGGUGAGUAACACGUGGGAACGUGCCUUUUGGUUCGGAAUAAUCCGGGGAAACCUGGCCUAAUACCGAAUGUGCCCCCUCCUUUAACCAGGGGGGUGGGAAAGAUUUAUCGCCAUUAGAGCGGCCCGCGUCUGAUUAGCUAGUUGGUGAGGUAAUGGCCCACCAAGGCUACGAUCAGUAGCUGGUCUGAGAGGAUGAUCAGCCACACUGGGACUGGGACACGGCCCAGACUCCUACGGGAGGCAGCAGUAGGGAAUCUUGCGCAAUGGGCGAAAGCCUGACGCAGCCAUGCCGCGUGAAUGAUGAAGGUCUUAGGAUUGUAAAAUUCUUUCAGCGGGAAGAUAAUGACUGUACCCGCAGAAGAAGCUCCGGCUAACUUCGCGCCAGCAGCCGC
rnacentral:rRNA from 1 species